AGAUGACCAGUCUCUUGGAACCAUUUGUAGCCAUGAAAAAAAAAGGUUUUUCAUUGCCAUGGGACAUGGAGAUGCCAACUAUCCAGGUUCCAAAAUUAAUCCAUAGCUUCAGGCUCCUAGCAGUGGUUCAGGCCUGGCUGCCUGGCGCAGAAAAGUCUCGAUAUCUCAAGAUCCAGGGCUCGGAUUGGCGAGCUGUUUUUUUGGUUUUCCUCCCCAUUGGCAAUGGGGUAUUCGGAGCCUGGCUUGUGGGACAAGUAAGGGUGGCUGGUUUCCUGCUUGUUUGUGCAGAGCUUCAGCUUUGUACGUCUGACUCGGAAGGUCACUGGCUCUGCCCCACAGUUGUCAGUAUUUUGUAGCUGCAAAUAUCUAUUGGCUGUUGGUAGAAACAUUAGUUUAUUACCAGAUAUUUAAAACAUUACCUGCCUUUAUUAGUUUAAUAGGCAGAUAUUUAGCAAACACAUUGAAAAUUGGCUGUAUAAGGUUUAGUGAAUAUUAACUUAGCUACAUGUAAUCAUAUGUGGACUUUGACUGUUCUCUAAGUAAAAUAAUUCCUUUGAUGGACUUUGAUUCAUUGCAGAAUUCUUCAAUUUGAAACAUUUGUUCAAUGCCAAAUUAUCAAUAAAUCUGUUUCAUAGAACAUUUCAAUAUUUUAAAAUAUAAUUUUGUCCUUUAAGGAAAAAGCACACAGGAUUGGGCAAAAAAUUUAGAAUCCAGUAAAUUCCAGUUACUGUGUCCCAAUGGAGCCCGCGCAGAAGUAACUCAAUUUGCAGACUGCAAUUGGGCCCAAGUUCCAGCUCAUGCUGUGAUGGUACAUGCAGACACCAAUAUUCAUGCCGUGUUUGGCUUACUGGACCAUGCACAGGUGAGACUUCUUAACACUAAUCAUUGUGAGGGUUGCAAGAAUCAUCAGGAUGGAGAGAUGAUAGCCAUAAUUUACCUAUAUUAUUUGAUAACUCACAAGAUCAUUGAGAUUUGCCUCUCUCCCUAUACUGACAACAUGGUUGGCAUUUUAUUUGUAAACCAAUGGAGAUUGCACACACUUAACUUGUUUGGAUUUAGAGUGCACAUGAGUUUAUUUUGGGAUAUUUUGCAUAGGUAGUAUUUUGAUCAUUAGCCUAAUUUUGCUGACUGCCUAGAACCAGGCAUAUUUUUAUGUCAAUCACGAUUUAUUAAAUAUCUAAAAUAUCAAGUAGAGAGGGAGAACUAAGCACAUUUGUAUUCUCUUAUGGAAAAUGUAUGGUCUGAAAAGGUGGAAAAUUUUAAUGCAAACCAAUGGAAUCACUAGAUACUUUGGGAGAGAUUUGUCACAAUGACAGGAUUUAAAAAUUGGGGCAAACUUUAUUAAAUUUCUCCAAUUUCCUUGGUGAUUUUUAUCUGUUUAAUUUUGCACCAAUUUUCAGAAUACAACACUUUGAUAAAUCUCUUUUAUAGUCUCUAAACAUUUUGGACAUAUGUAAUCCAAAAAAAAUAAAAAUAAUAAUUAAUAAAAGUAACAGCCUUUUAAUUUAGCAUUGUUUGUGCUAAACAAUGAGCAAUCAACAUGGAAAGUGAAUGUCCUUCAUUAUUUAGCUUUUUGCACUUAGAAUAUCACCUAUUUGUUUAGGCAGUUGAAGUUGUCUGUACUAUGAAUUAAUUCAGUAUUUCGUGUUGGCAGUUUUCAUUGUAAUUACCAACCUUAACCACUUAAGGACCACAUGGUGGUCUGUAAUGUCAUGCAGUGCAGUGCUUUAACGCCCAUCGACGGGCAUAGAGCAUCAUGCAAUAAAAGUACCAGCAGCGUUAAAACAAUUUCGCUUCAUUUAUUUUAUAACUUCUAAAUAUCCUAGACAUAUUGGGCAUUUUAGCAAUCAGGACUAAUUUGAGAUUUUAGUUGCACUCGAUGUGAUGUAUAAAUUAUUAAAUGUAGGGGGGCAGGGCCGGGCCGCCAUGCUGACCGGUCGCAUGCAGUAGAAGCUCCUGAUGCACUCUGUCAAUCAAGCUGAAAAUCACAGCUUAAACACACAAUCCAAGCUAAAAAAAUGUACCUGUAGCUGGUACACGACAGUGGACAUCGCAGUGCAAGCUGAGAUCAGGAGUUUUGGAGCCCGCAGGGGUGAUCUAAGGCUUUGGAGUUUGCGGCCUACUCGGAGGAGAAGCGGUGCAGACGGCCGCUGUCCCGCUCUCCCCCUCCCUCCCAAUGCCACACACCUGCUCUCUGGUGUGGUUGCUGGCCCCAUACCCCCCUCUGGGCCAGUGGGGGUUAUCCCGGCCUCCACUGGAGAGUCUGAAGCUGCACUACAACACGGGCCUACCCAGCACUCUGCAACAAAAAUGGCGGCCGACCAUGCCCAUUCGAAACCGACACUGAAGCUGGAACGGCCACCUCGGCUAUGCCACAGACACUCACGUUCCAACUCCCAACAGUCAGAGCUGGCGCCCGACAUGCAAACCACAACUCCGUGAGCCGUGCAGAGUAUAAUCUCACUGCAUGAAGAUUUAAACCCCUCAAGGUCGAAUCUGCACCAGCCCUGACGGCGCAAGAUCCAAAUCCAAGGUGUGAUUUAGGGCUGGCGGAGCGGCACAAACCAAUUUACACGCAUGAUGGGACUGAACCUCACAAUUCACCAAGCUGGUGGCGGGAACAUGCGGUGGGACUACCCAAAUCGCCUGAUGGCGGAAUACCUGAGCCAUGUACUAAACACUUCAACAGCAGAGUGGGGGAUGUCUGAAACAAGGAGACCCAGUGGCUUUUACUAAGCAAAAAGUUAUCUUGCUAGAUGUAAUUAUUCAAUUAUAAUAGGCUUAGCAGAACGCUCAGGGAACAUAACAUGUCACCUUAAUGCCUAUUUUAGACCAGUUAGCUGUGUUGCAUUAUUCAGACUAGCCAUGCUGUUAGAAUAUGCAUUUUAUUAAGUUAUACCACAGUUACUCUCACAAAACCCAAUACGUUAAGUUCGCUGAUGUUACUGCUUGUCACUUUGGUAACUUACAACUUGAUGUAUGAACCUAGCUUGUUUAUCCUCAUAAAAUACAAAAAUGUGCAAAAAUUCUAUGCCAUCUAUGUGAAUAAGCUUGCUUUAAUGGGCUUGUACUAUGCUGUUGUGGCAUCGUCGGCUUGUAUAUUAUCUUGUGUACAAUAAAAAUAAAGAAUUUAAAAAAAUUAAUUAUUAAAUGUAAAAACUGAGGGAAAAAAAUGUGUUUUAUUGUCAUCUCUUUCCAAUUUUUAAAUAUGUUAUUACUAUUUAAUAUUCUGUUAUGUAUACAUAUAGGGUAUUAAAAGGAAGCUAUAUUUCUCCCUUAAUAAUUAUAAGCAAUAUGUCUUGGUACAUUUAAACAGAAAGGGUGAAAUUGUGGUAGAAUGAACGCAUGGCAAAAAGUGCAAAAAAGGCCUUGGUUACAAAUGUAUUGCAUCUCAAAAGAGCCUUAGCCAUUAAGGGGUUAAUAUACAUAUUAAAUAGAAUAUUAGAUAAUUAAUCAUUCAACAUAGUUGACCUUGGGAUGUUGAAUUUCUGAAAUUUUCAUUUUUGUCUUCUGUUCAGGAAUACUAUGGAAGCGACAGUCAUCUUGAAUUCAAAAUGUUUGACUCUUCCAAAUAUAAUUCAAAAGACUUAAUCUUUAAAGAUUCCACUAAUAAGAUUGUUCCAGUCAAAGACAAGAAAACUGCAGAGAAAUGGCUUGGAACAAAUUAUAUUAAUUCAUUGGAAGGUUUACAGUGUAGUUCUAGUACAG
rnacentral:lncRNA from 1 species